rnacentral:misc_RNA from 1 species
GAUGAAGAACGCAGCGAAAUGCGAUAAGUAGUGUGUAUUGCAGAAUUCAGUGAAUCAUCGAAUCUUUGAACGCACAUUGCGCCCCUUGGUAUCCCGAGGGGCAUGCCUGUUCGAGCGUCAUUUCACCACUCAAGCCUGGCUUGGUGUUGGGCGACGUCCUCUUUGGGGACGCGCCUCGAAACGCUCGGCGGCGUGGCACCGGCUUUAAGCGUAGCAGAAUCUUUCGCUUUGGAAGUCGGGGCCCCGUCUGCCGGAAGACCUGCUCGCAAGGUUGACCUCGGAUCAGGCAGGGAUACCCGCUGAACUUAAGCAUAUCAAUAAGCGGAGGA